UGUCACAGGAAAAUGUGUUUCUUUUGUACAGAGUUUUUUGUUACUGCAGAGAAAAUGUCUUGUUUUAAAUGUCUGCAAGUUCUUUGUCAUGUUACUACCACCUGCUGGUCACAUUACAUAUUGCUCUAAAUAGUCAGCAUGCAGCGUCACAUGAUCAGAUACAGGAAAUGUGCUGCCAGGAAAACAGACGCAGAAAACGCACACUGGACGGUGAAAACAAUAAAAUAGACGCUAAGGGACUGUAACAACUCCUAAAUUACUGGUCAGAAGGCGCAUACGGUAUGUUUUUGUAAUUUAUUUUGAACAGAUGAUUUAUUUAAGUUUGAGGAUGUGUUUGUGCUGACAAAUGCUUGUUUUUGUAUUGUUAAUUUUGCACAGUUUUUCACGGUGUUUGCUGUGCGAAGAAGAAAAUAAAUGCUAGUGAACAUCAGUUGGAGCGUGGCUUAUCUGUACCAGUAGAAAACUUUGGGAGCAGUUAUAGUGAAAAACGUGGCCAUUCCAAGACUGAGAAGCAAGAUUCCUGCACGGCCAUGCUUCAAGGACUUCACUGCAGCCCGCACCAAAGAUCUGCCUCCAUAUUCCUGCAUCAGCUGGACAUCCGAACUGCAGUGGCCCAUUCCAGUCGAGUUCAUGAGGGACCAAGGCAACAUUAAAGGACAGUGCAGUUUUGCAAUAAGUCUCAACGCCUUUGGGAUACCAGGUCAGACUGUAUCUUAAGAGUCUGGAAACAGUUUGUUUCCGAAUUUAAAGCCAUUUAAAAAAAAAAAAAAAAAAAAAAAAAAAACAGCAAAGUGUGUUUUGAAAAUGUACAUUUAUUGGAAGUGUGCAACUUUUGUGAUAUUGUUUGAUAAUUGAGAUAGUGUAUUUUCCUGGUUGUUUUAUAAGUUUCCGUUCAUUGUUUAAUAUUUCAAAGGUUGCAGUUCAGUAUUUAAGUAUUUUUGAAAAUGGAACAUAGUACAUUAGAAACUCGUGUGUUAGAGGACGUACUUGCAUCCUUAGAAGAUGAGAAAGCACAGUUGGAAGAGAAAUUAGAAACUGAACUUGAAGAUUCUGAAAGAGAAGAAAUUCAGACACGCAUAGGAGAAAUUUGGGCAGAUCUUGAAAUACAUAAGAUAGGGCUGCCGCAGCCACUGGCUCAAGUUGAAACAGAGGUUAGACGCUCAGAAAGGGAAAGAAGCCUAACAGUAAAAAUGCUUGAGUUUAAAAGGAAUGAAAUAACAAACAAGGAAAGAAAGUUCAUGUCGUCAUAUGUAAACUUUAAGGCAGAGGUACAACUGAUAAGGUCUAAACUUAAAGAAGAAUGCUGUAAGGCUGAGUUAGGUGAAACGAUCAAAUCAGUAGAAAAAUGUGAGUCAGAACUAAAGCAAGAGUAUGAGAGUUUACGUGCACUGACAGCACCAUCUCAAGACAUAAGAAGGAAGAUGGAUAGCUGCACUUCAGUUACUACUGAAAUAACUCUGCUCCUGAAAAGGCGCUAUGCAGAUGUUGAUACCAAGGAGUUUGAUGCAGUAGCUGUGAAAGAAUCACUCCUUCAGUUACUCCAAAGAGAAGAUGCAAGGUCAGUUUAUGGAUCAACUGUGUCAAGAGCUGAACGGAGUAGUCAGCGAAGUCAUAGUCAGCAAGGAAGUCAUGUAUCUGCAAAGAAGGCAGACGCAGCUGCACGUUUGGCAUCAAAACGGGCUGAAAUAAACAGAGAAAUGGAAAUCUCUUCCCAGAGAAAGACAAUUCUAGCUCAGCAAGAGAGGUUAAAAAUGUUGGAAGAUCGAAGGGAUCUUGAGGCCAUAGAGGCUGAAUACAAUGUGUAUGCUGAAGAGGAAUCAAAAUUGAAUGCUGAAAUAAGAGAUAGUGAAGUAAAAGGCACUUUACUGAGUCAGCUUCCAAUGCAGCACAACAGCGCUCCAUGCACCCAAGUUCUCCUAAACAUGUCAGCUCCCCCUUUCUCUGAAGGUAAAUGCAAUAAGACCCCCCACAGUGAUCCAGUCUCUCACUGUGACAAAAGGGUAGAGUCACAAAAAGGUGAAGCCUCACUAGUUCAAGCACUGAAAGAAUCCUUGGCAAUGACUAGACUUCCAGCACCAGAGCCGUUCAUAUUUACAGGAGACCCACUCAAAUUCACUGAGUGGCGCACCUGCUUUAAGGCUCUAAUUGAGACAAGCUGCACAGAUCCAGCACAUAAGCUGUUCUAUUUGAAAAAAUACAUAGGCGGAGAAGCACUUUGUGUAUUAGAAGGAACAUUCUAUCGAAGUGAUGAGGAAGCAUACCUACAGGCCUGGGAUGCCUUAAACAAACGAUAUGGUCACCCCUUUGUAGUUCAAAGAGCCUUCCGUGGAAAACUGAGCAGCUGGCCAAAGAUUGGAUCAAAAGAAUCUCUUAAAUUAAGAGAGUUCAGUGAUUUCCUCAUUUCCUGUAAAAAUGCUAUGCCCCAUGUGCAAGGUCUCAGGGUUUUAGAUGAUUGUGAGGAAAACCAAAAAUUGCUACUGAAACUUCCUGACUGGGCAACAACCCGCUGGAACCGGCAUGUCACUAAAACACUGGAUGAAGGGAAGACAUAUCCGGGUUUCACAGAAUUUGCAGACUUUGUGGCUGAAGAAGCGCGCAUAGCAUGCAAUCCAGUAUCCUCCCUGUAUGCAUUAAGGCACACAUGCGAAAAACCUGAGAAGGAACAGAAACGUCUGAAGGCAAGUGUCCUGGUGGCAUCAACAAAGGUAUUUAAAAAUUCAAAGGCCACAGGUACAUCACAGGGUGACAAGAGUUCCAGACCUAGCCCUUCUGCAACUCAGAACAAAGGGCAAAUUAAAUGUAUCUGCUGUCAACAAAAUCAUUUUAUCUAUAAAUGUGAAAAAUUUGCUGCAAUGUCUCUUGAAGAAAGGAAACAGUUCAUUAUGGACAACAAAAUGUGCUUUGGCUGCCUGAGAGUUGGCCAUACCUCCAAAAAUUGUCGCCAGAGAGUCACUUGUAAUAUUUGCAGGCGAAACCACCCCUCUCCUCUCCAUGAAGAACGUCUGCAAGCAGACAAGCCUGAAACACCAUCACACGAGGAAAGAGAUUCAACCGUUUCAUGCAGUGUAAGAGUUGGCAACAGUGAUUGCACUUCAAUGAUUGUUCCAGUGUGGCUCUCUUGUGCAGCAGAGAAAAGCAAAGAAAUCUUGGUGUACGCACUGUUAGACACACAAAGCAGUAAUACAUUCAUUGACCAAGACAUUUGUGAAAAAAUUCAGGCAACCACUGAACCUGUUAAGUUAAAACUAACAACAAUGACUGACAGGGGUUCAAUCGUGCCUUGCCAAAAGGUGGAAGGACUAAGAGUAAGAGGGUACCAUUCCCAAGAGUACAUUGAGCUGCCACCUACAUACACUAGAGAAUACAUUCCACUGGAACAAAACAGUAUUCCAACUCGUGAGACAGCGAAAAGGUGGACCCACCUUCUCUGUAUUGCAGAGGAGAUGCCAAAUCUGUUGGACUGUCCUGUAGCACUCCUGAUUGGUUAUGACUGUGCAAGGGCUCUGAAACCAAGGGAAGUCAUACCAGGAAAUGAUUAUGAUCCAUAUGCAGUCAAAACAGACUUAGGAUGGAGUAUUGUGGGAUCCAUUAAACCCUGGACCAGUUCAAUGGAUGUAACAGGGGUCUGCCAUCGCAUCUCUGUUAAAGAGCUCCCAUCCAUCACCCCUGCCUCUGUAAUCAAAGCAUUGGAAAGGGAUUUUCUAGACACAAACCCUAAAGAAGGGAGUGUAUCUCAAGAGGACAUUCAGUUCCUACAGCUCUUGAGUGGAAAUAUUAACCACAACAAGGAAGGUCAUCUGGAAAUGCCCCUACCCUUCAGAGAGCGUCCACAUCUUCCAAAUAAUAAGCAGCUGGCUACAUCUCGCCUAAAGCAUUUAGAAAGAAAAAUGGAGAAAAAUCCCAAGUACAAAGAAGACUAUGUGAAAUUCAUGGACAGUGUGUUUGAAGAUGGUGAUGCAGAAGAAGCAGACGACACACCGAAGGAUGGUAAUACAUGGUACAUUCCACACCAUGGGGUGUACCAUCCAAGGAAGCCAGAGAAAAUUAGAGUUGUUUUUGACUGCUCUGCCAGAUUUGAAGGCACCUCUCUAAAUGACCACCUACUGACAGGUCCAGAUUUGACCAAUGCUCUGGUAGGAGUCUUGUGCAGAUUUCGCGAACACCAAAUCGCAGUCAUGUGCGACGUGGAAAAAAUGUUCCACCGCUUCCACGUCAGCCAAGGAGAUCGGGACUUCUUAAGGUUCCUGUGGUGGAAAGAUGGGAACACAGAUACUGAGCCUAAGGAAUAUCGCAUGCGAGUGCAUAUUUUUGGAGCAGCAUCAUCUCCAGGAUGUGCUAACUUUGGCAUGAAGCACCUAGCCAGUGAACAUGAAAGGGACUACCCCUUGGCAGUCAGCUUCAUUCACAAAAAUUUCUAUGUGGAUGACGGGCUCAUCAGUUUUGAUUCAGUCAACAAAGCGAAACAGCUGGUCAAUGAAGCACAAGAAAUCUGUGCUAAAGGAAAGUUGCGCUUACACAAAUUUGUGUGCAAUAACAAAGAAGUCUUGGAUGCAAUUCCAGAGACAGAAUGUGCCAGUGACAGGAAAAAUGUGAAUCUGAACUACACUGAGAUUCCAAUGCAUAGUGUAUUGGGAAUAAAAUGGGACGUAGAGGCCGAUGUGUUCUCGUUCAAUGUGGCCCUCAAAGAAAAACCAGCCACACGGCGAGGAAUCCUAGCAACAGUUGCAAGCGUGUACGAUCCAUUAGGAUUUCUCUCUCCCUACAUCUUGUCUGGAAAACAAGUGCUGCAAGAGAUGUGCAAACGUGGUGUUGGAUGGGAUGAGCCUGUUCCCCCUGCACUUGAGACCAAGUGGAAAAUAUGGCUCUGUGACUUGGAAAAUCUUCAAAAAAUUCAAAUACCAAGAUGUCUCAUUCCUGAGAACCUCGGCACGAUCCAAAAAAUUGAGCUGCAUCAUUUUUCAGAUGCCAGCAGCAAUGGUUAUGGGCAAUGUUCAUAUAUCAGGAUUGUUGCUGAUGAACAAGUGCAUUGUACACUGGUAAUGGGUAAAGCCAGAGUGGCACCCACAAGCAUUGUCACCAUCCCGCGCCUUGAACUCACUGCAGCCACAGUUUCUGCCGGAGUAAGUAACUUCCUCAGAGCAGAGCUUGAGCUGAAGAUAGAUAAGGAGUUUUUCUGGACAGAUUCUCGAGUCGUGCUUGGGUACAUUAAGAAUGAAGCUCGGCGCUUUCAUGUUUUUGUUGCUAAUCGCGUCCAGAAAAUAAGAGACACUACAGAUCCAAGACAAUGGUACUAUAUUGAAACUGAUCAAAAUCCAGCGGAUCAUGCCUCUAGGGGUCUCACGGUGGCAGGCCUGAUCGACUCAAACUGGCUCUCUGGACCUAGGUUUUUAUGGGAUCGAGAAAUUAACAUAAACCAACAUUCCCCAGAGCUUCUUGUUGGGGACCCAGAGGUAAAAGUCCUGAAGACGAAUGCAGUUGAGACAGACAGCUUUCUUGAGAGGUUCUCAAGAUUCUCUGACUGGAAUACAGCCCUCAAUGUUGUUGCAAGGAUUAAAAGAAUGGCAAAGAGAGACAAGUCAGGGCACAUUAGUGUGGAGGAGAGAAAAAUGGCUGCUUUUGUACUCAUCCAGGCAGCACAAAGAGAGGCCUUUAAAGAAGAGCUGAAAUGGUUCAGUCAAAAAUCAGCUAAACUACCAAGAACUCAUAAGAUGUACCAACUUGAUCCCAUCCUUGUGAAUGACCUGCUUAGGGUCGGAGGGCGGUUGAGAAAGUCUUCUGUAUCAUUUGAGUUGAGACAUCCAGUGAUUCUUCCUAAGGAAGGCAUUGUCACAAAACUUGUUCUCGACCACUAUCACAAGAAAACACAACAUCAAGGUCGAGGCCAAACAUUAAACGAACUCAGGGCCAAUGGUUAUUGGGUAAUAGGUGCUAGUAAGGUAGUGGCCAAACAUAUUAAGUGUUGUGUCACUUGCAGAAAGGUGCGUGGACCAGUCGAAGAGCAGCGCAUGGCUGACUUGCCAGUUGACCGAGUAGAUCCCUCACCCCCUUUCUCAUACACUGGACUCGACUGUUUUGGCCCCUUCUACACAAAGCAAGGUCGGAAAGAAUGUAAGCGAUAUGGCUUGUUGUUCACAUGUUUAAGCUCCAGAGCCAUUCACAUUGAAAUGCUGGUGGAUCUCACCACUGAUGCAUUUAUAAAUGCUUUGAGAUGCUUCAUAGCAAUCAGAGGAGCAGUGAGACAGAUUAGAUGCGACCGAGGUACAAAUUUUGUCGGGGCAAAGAAUGAGUUUGAAAAAGGUCUGCUGGAGUUAGACGAAGAGAAGAUUUCUACCUAUUUGGCUACAAACCAAUGUGACUUCCAAAUGAACAUUCCCGAAGCAAGUCACAGGGGCGGAGUUUGGGAACGCCAGAUUCGGACAGUCAGGAGUGUAAUGAGUUCUGUCUUAGCACAAGCCACAGGAAGGCUAGAUGACACCUCAUUGAGAACAUUCUUCUACGAGGCCAUGUCGAUUGUGAACAAUCGCCCACUCACUACAGAUACAAUCAGUGACCCCACAAGUGUUGAGCCUUUGACACCUAACCAUUUGCUCACGAUGAAAAUGUCUCUGCCCCUUCCACCUCCUGGCAAAUUUGUCAGGGAAGAUUUGUAUGCCAGAAAGAGGUGGCGGAGGGUGCAAUAUCUAACAGAGCAAUUCUGGAGCAGGUGGCGCAAAGAAGACAACAGUGGCAUGCACCUAAAAGAAAUGUGCAAGUUGGGGAUGUAGUGAUAGUCAAGGAGGACAAUAUUCCCAGAAAUGAGUGGAAAUUGGCCAGAGUAGUUCAGACGAGUGAAGAUGAUGAUGGUCUUGUGCGAAAGGUUAAGAUCCAAAUAGGACAGAGGGAUUUAGGGAAGAAAGGUGAACGUUUGAAGCAACUGUCGUUUCUUGAGCGACCAGUUCAAAAACUAGUAAUACUAGUUGAAAAUGAGUCCUAGACUACAGUGUCAAGGUACAAAAUCUGAUAACACAAACACAGAAGAGUGGUUUGCAGGUUUGAAGAUUAAAUUGUUUUGACGUUAUUGAGGCAACAUGGUUUGAUGGUUGAUUGUCAAUUCAGGAAAAUUACUAGAUUUAAUUUGUUUAACACAUGGAUGAAUAUAAAUCUUUGUAAUUUUGGUGGCAGUGUAGCUGUCACAGGAAAAUGUGUUUCUUUUGUACAGAGUUUUUUGUUACUGCAGAGAAAAUGUCUUGUUUUAAAUGUCUGCAAGUUCUUUGUCAUGUUACUACCACCUGCUGGUCACAUUACAUAUUGCUCUAAAUAGUCAGCAUGCAGCGUCACAUGAUCAGAUACAGGAAAUGUGCUGCCAGGAAAACAGACGCAGAAAACGCACACUGGACGGUGAAAACAAUAAAAUAGACGCUAAGGGACUGUAACAACUCCUAAAUUACUGGUCAGAAGGCGCAUACGUUUUUCACGGUGUUUGCUGUGCGAAGAAGAAAAUAAAUGCUAGUGAACAUCAGUUGGAGCGUGGCUUAUCUGUACCAGUAGAAAACUUUGGGAGC